UCAUGGCUCAGAGCGAACGCUGGCGGCGUGCUUAACACAUGCAAGUCGAGUGCGCAGCUUUCUGUAGCAAUACAGGGUGUGGGCGCACGGCGCACGGGUGCGUAACACGUGGGCAAUCUGCCCUCGGAUGGGGGAUAACUCGUCGAAAGGCGAGCUAAUACCGCAUGACAUUCCGGAGACCCUGGUCUCUGGAUUCAAAGGCCGCAAGGCCGUCUGAGGAGGAGCCCGCGCCCGAUUAGCUAGUUGGUGAGGUAACGGCUCACCAAGGCUAUGAUCGGUAGCCGGUCUGAGAGGAUGGCCGGCCACACUGGAACUGAGACACGGUCCAGACUCCUACGGGAGGCAGCAGUGGGGAAUAUUGCGCAAUGGGCGAAAGCCUGACGCAGCGACGCCGCGUGGGGGAUGAAGCUUUUCGGAGUGUAAACCCCUUUCGACCCGGACGAAUGACCCGCAAGGGUUUGACGGUACGGGUAUAAGAAGUCCCCGGCUAACUACAGUC
rnacentral:rRNA from 1 species